GACGAACGCUGGCGGCAUGCUUCACACAUGCAAGUCGAACGGAAAGGCCUGCUUUCCCUUGUGGAUUGCGGGUCCUCGAGUGGCCAACUGGUGAGUAACACUUAAGUGAUCUGCCCCCAACUUGGGUAUAAGCCUGGGGAACUGGGUCUAAUUCCCGAUAGCUCUGCAGGGUCGUUACUGAGGUGGACAACGCUUCUCUAGUGGAUGGGGUGGAGCUCGCGGCCUAUAAGCUUGUUGGUGGGGUAAUGGCCUAACCAGCCGGCGACGGGUAGCCGGCCUGAGAGGGUGGGCGGCCACAUGGGGACUGGGACACGGCCCAGGCGCGGACGGGAGGCAGCAGCGGGGAAUAUGGCACAGUGGGCGGAAGGCUGGUGCAGCGACGGCGCGUGGGGGAUGACGGCCUUGGGGUUGUAAACGCCUGUCGACCGCAAGGAAGCCACCUGGUUGGAGGGGUGGUUACGGUAGUGGUAGAAGAAGCGCCGGCUGGGUAGGUG
rnacentral:rRNA from 1 species